UGGGGCGUCGCCAAGCUGGUAAGGCACCAGACUUUGGAUCUGGCAUUCGUAGGUUCGAAUCCUACCGCCCCAG
rnacentral:tRNA from 2 species